CCUACGGGUGGCAGCAGUGGGGGAUAUUGCACAAUGGGGGAAACCCUGAUGCAGCGACGCCGCGUGUGGGAAGACGGUCUUCUGGAUUGUAAACCACUGUCCCCAGGGACGAAAAUGACGGUACCUGGGGAGGAAGCUCCGGCUAACUACGUGCCAGCAGCCGCGGUAAUACGAAGGGAGCAAGCGUUGUCCGGAAUUACUGGGUGUAAAGGGAGCGUAGGCGGGGAUGCAAGUUGGGUGUCAAAACUACCGGCUCAACCGAUAGUCGCACUCAAAACUGCAACUCUUGAGUGAAGUAGAGGCAGGCGGAAUUGCUAGUGUAGCGGUGAAAUGCGUAGAUAUUAGGAGGAACACCAGUGGCGAAGGCGGCCUGCUGGGCUUUUACUGACGCUGAGGCUCGAAAGUGUGGGGAGCAAACAGGAUUAGAUACCCUAGUAGUC
rnacentral:rRNA from 1 species